UACGAGGGGUCCUAGCGUUGUUCGGAAUCAUUGGGCGUAAAGGGUGCGUAGGUGGCUAUGUAAGUCAGGUGUGAAAGCCCCGGGCUCAACCCGGGAAGUGCAUCUGAUACUGCGUAGCUUGAGUACCGAAGAGGAUAGUGGAAUUCCAGGUGUAGUGGUGAAAUACGUAGAUAUCUGGAGGAACACCGGUGGCGAAGGCGGCUAUCUGGUCGAGUACUGACACUGAGACACGAAAGCAUGGGGAUCAAACAGG
rnacentral:rRNA from 1 species